GCCCGAGGGAACGGCAUGGAGCUGUCAGGGGAGGGGCAGCUGGGGGUUAGGGAAAGGUUCUGCACCACAGGGCGGUGAGCGCGGAACACGCUGCCCAGGGCAGUGGGCACGGCCCCGAGUGCCGGAGUUCAAGGGGCGUUAGGACAGCGCUCUCAGACGCAGGGUUUGAACGCGGGGUCGUUCUGCGUGCAGCUCCAGCCCCGCACCGCCAGGUGGCAGCAGGCCUUCUCCUAUGGGCUUCGCCACAGCGCCGGUCACUGUGGCUUCGGGGUUUUUUUUCGUUAUCGGUAAUCGUUAAUUAAAAAUGAGCUCCGAUUCCCGUGCCGAGGCUCCCUCGGGGUCUCCAGAAGAUCAGUCUGGGACGCUCACUGAAUAUCCAUCUGCUCAGCGGCAGUGUUCGCAGAUGUUUCACUGGGACGGAAGAGUUUGCAAGCUGAAGAGCUGCAACUGCAAGCCUGUGCGUAUGGACUGCUGAGCCAGCAGGAAAGUGGGUGAUGAGAAGCGAGACAGACCCCUGGAUGCCAACAUCCCGGUGCAGACCUUUCUUCCAGAAAACCCCGUGACCACAAGCCAGCCCAAGAGGAAAGGUGGUACUAUGGACACAACUCAGUGAGCUGCAGCAUCACAGAACUGCAGGAAUGCUGUGACAGAACAAUCUGAUACCAUUCAUCAGAAGAAUACCAUUAAGGCAGCAGUAUGGAUGUCCAGCUUGGUGGAAAUGAUUUCUCGUGAUCUCUGAACUGGACAAAACAUUGCUGGCAACUGAUGGCAAAGGACUGGUCGCAUAUCCCACCACCAGGUGUGUGCUGAGCAUCCUGCACAGCCACUGUGGCCUUGUGGUUGUCACAGCAGCACAAGGACUGAACUGACUGGGGACUCACAGACCAAAAUGAAACCCCUACUCACACCUGCUGUAAGUGGAUGCCAUGUGAAGAAUGCUGAGUGCCAGAUACCUUGGGUUUCUCACAGGAUGCAAACAGCCACCUCCACAUUUACGGCACUGGAAUUGUGGAACUGGAAGGAUUUUCACCCUUCAGUCAUUUUUUUCCUUGAUUUUACUGCAAGUUUUCUGUUAUGGAGUACUCUUCGUAAGGAUACGUUACAUGAAAAACAAAAGAAAUGUAAUUGCAUCCAGAAAAUGUUCACAUGUGCGGUCCAAUGCUGUUAGUAUCACACUAAUUUUCCUGGAAAACUUGUUUGAUAUUUGUUUCUGAUGAGCACAGGGGCUGACAGCAUCUCUUAAAGGCAUGGAAACAAACAACUCCCUUUCAAGCGCACCCUGUAUUCAUAGAAUCAUAGAAUCAUAGAAUUAGCAAAGUUGGAAAAAGACCUACAAGAUCAACCAUCCACCUACCACCAAUAUAACCCCACUAAACCAUGUCUCUCAACACAAUGUCUAGAAGUUUCUUGAACAAUUUCUUGCAUUGUGCUGGCACACUGCCUCCCCUGGAUGGGUACGUAGCACUGGAUGGCUGCCUCCUUGCCUGCAGUGCUUACAGAGCCUUCACCUUGCUCAGAUUACCUGAGGGUAACUUCUGGGCUGGUUUGUGGCUUUGGGAUGAGGAAUUCAGCCCUCGUCACUGUACAUAGCCUGUGGGAAUGAGCAGGCAUAUGGAAUUAGGCUGCUGGGAGCAAAAGGCACCAAGAGAGCUUUCAAAUACUCUAUCAGCAGUCAAACAAUGUUUUUCACCUGCACAUCCCUUGCUUUCCAAAUCAUGAUUUAUAUUCAGGCACACUGUGUAUAUGGAGUAACAAAAGUCUACACAUUGUUUCCUCACCUACCUUGGAAAUUACCUCCUGAAUGGACUAAGUACUGUGAUAGCAAGAAAAAAUACUGCCAUUGGUAUGCUAAGGAAGUAUAUAAAUAAUUCUGAGUUAGCUGUGGUUGAAAUAUCCUUAAUUCAAAUCUGCUUAGGGUUUUUUUGUUUGUUUGCUUGCAUUGCAAAAGUCAAACUAAAGAAGGAGCAACUGGGAGCAAAAAAACCUCCAUAUCUCCUUUGAUGCCAGCUGUGGUGCUGAGAGCUUUAGAUCUUUGUUUUUUUCCUCUCAUCUUUAAUUAAGCUUAAUGAUAGUAUGUGGUUUCUCAAAUGUAUUUUAAUGGUGCAGGUUGCUCUGGGCGAAUAAAAAAUUUUGCACAGCUAUCACAGGGCUCUGCCAGCCCCGGGCAUGGGAGCAGCACUGCACGGUAAGUAUUACUCUGUUAUCUGCAGCUAGCUGUUAGAAAUGCUCUUCCAAGCUGCAAGAUGCCUUCUUUCCAAUUUAUCAGUGAUGCUGCGUGUCAAUGGGUUAUUCAAAAGAAGAGCCACUUUCACUUCUGCUGAACUAAAAUGCAGGUGACAGGAAAAAUUAGUUAUUUCCAGACUGAAAUAAAAUACCUUCGGUUCCUGCUUGCUGUGCAUCGUGAGUCUGUUUGCACCACGCUGGGAACCAAGGGAGCAGAAUGUGAUUCAAUACAACUAACAGGAUGUAUUAUUUUCAGGUGCAUGAACAUGAACUAUUGGUUCAUUCUUCUUCUUCCUUUCUCUCUUUAUCUUCUUUUCUCUCUCCUCUUCUUCCCUCUUCAACUGUUGAUUCAUUUGCAACUAUAAAUCAUCCUGGCUGGAAAUUCUGUGUAAGCCAUUAGAAAUAAAGACAUGAAGUGACCAGCUGAAAAGCCAAGGAGCUGCAGUUUGACAACAUUUUCAAUGUUGUAAAUGCUAAUACAACCUGAACAACUUCAGUGCAACAACUACUGCUCUUCUGAAAAAAUUAAGCAACUUUUUAAUGGGGCAUUUUGAAGCCAGUAGAGUUACAUCUAUUUGACAAUUGAAACAUCUAUGAAGUCCAGAUAAUAUCACAUUUUGCAUGAGCUUCUGGGAAAUUACAAAAGAAAAGCUGUUUGGUUUUUUUUUUCCAUAUUGAAAUGGAAUAAUUGAACAUUUUCAGCCUGGAGGCAGCAGUGGUAUAUAUAUUAGCACAAUAAUAUUCAAUUGGUUUGAAUUCUGUCAAUUAAAUGAACACAGUCCAGCUGCAAUUAAUAAAUAACAUAACAUACCAUAAAAAAUCUUUUUUAGAAAAUAAUGUUCAGGAUAACUGUUUUUACCUGGAUACUUGCAAUUAGAUCUCUAUAUUAGUAGAAUUAAUGAGAAAGACUCUAUGUUACAUCAGGCCAAAUUCAUAGCUGUUAAGUCAGUGUUCUGCAGGAGAUUCUGGCUGAUUAUUUCCAGUUUUGACCUCCCUGCCCCAGCCUGAUAGAUAUUUACAUGUUCAUUAAAGGAGCAGAACUGAUGAGCUUCAAAGUUAUUUUCCUUACAAACUGUAGAACAAAAUUUCAGGGGGAAAAAAAAAAAAAAAGGUGUGUGUAUGUUUCUCUAAUAAGAGUGUUCUGAUUCAGGAUAGAUAAUCUCCAGGACAGAUAAUCUCUUUUUACGUAAUCAUGAGAGCGGGCAGGAAAAAUGCACCCAAUGUAAGCCAUGUACAUUAAUCAAACCAUGUGCAACCUGAGCUGCUGAAGAAGUAACAGAGAGUUGCAGCGGGCAAAAUGCAUUGUAAUUCAUAUUGAUCAAAAGAAACUAUCAUAUGUCUGUUUGGCCAAGUCACACAGGUCACUUUCUGAAGGCAAAAUGAAGUAAUGAUACAGUAACUAACAUAUUUAAUUUGUUUUUCGUUUCUCCUAUGGUCACCAGUCUUUCAAACCAUUCAUUAAAUCUCUCAAAGCUACGUAUAUAACAAAUCUCUGAUAGCUGAGGUAACAGACUGCUCAUGUAUCUGAGCAGAGGAUCCAGAAUGUCUAUAUUAAUUUUAGCAGGAGCAGUUCUCUGCUGUUUUCCUUGCUCUGUUGAACACUCCUAAUUUUGAUUCAUUCUGUAGGCAUUUUAAGCUGAAGGCAAAUAUAUAUAUGUGCGUGUGUAAGAAAAGGUUAUUGCAAAGUCUUCAUUAACUCGCUGGGAAUGUGCCUGCCUGCUCAAAACCUUUGGAGCCGCUCUCUUCUUUGUUAUUAUUCAUAUUCCCUCCCUAUUCCAUCUCUCAGUUCACAUCUCCAAUAAAAACAAUAAUUCAG